rnacentral:lncRNA from 1 species
AUUGGGUGGAGCUUGGAGUCAAGAUUGUGGAUCAAAGAAGCAUCAUGCUCAAGCUUUCUACCUAGAUGUCAAGAUAGGUAUUUGUAACCUCUCUUUCUCCUUUGAGUUUUGCCAUGGUAGGCUAGUUUAUGUUGUUGCUAGGUUAGAAAUGAUGUUGUCGUAAGGAUGUCCUCUAAUGAUGAGGGGUUGGAUACACUUGGAUGCUGAUUAUGAUAAUGAUGUGCUUGGAUUAUGGUGUUUUCAACCUAGUUUGUGCCAUGGCUUGAAUUAGGUCAAAUCAAUACUCUCU